rnacentral:rRNA from 1 species
GACGAACGCUGGCGGCGUGCCUAAUACAUGCCAGUUGAGCGCUGAAGGUUGGUACUUGUACCAACUGGAUGAGCAGCGAACGGGUGAGUAACGCGUGGGGAAUCUGCCUUUGAGCGGGGGACAACAUUUGGAAACGAAUGCUAAUACCGCAUAAAAACUUUAAACACAAGUUUUAAGUUUGAAAGAUGCAAUUGCAUCACUCAAAGAUGAUCCCGCGUUGUAUUAGCUGGUUGGUGAGGUAAAGGCUCACCAAGGCGAUGAUACAUAGCCGACCUGAGAGGGUGAUCGGCCACAUUGGGACUGAGACACGGCCCAAACUCCUACGGGAGGCAGCAGUAGGGAAUCUUCGGCAAUGGACGAAAGUCUGACCGAGCAACGCCGCGUGAGUGAAGAAGGGUUUCGGAUCGUAAAACUCUGUUGGUAGAGAAGAACGUUGGUGAGAGUGGAAAGCUCAUCAAGUGACGGUAACUACCCAGAAAGGGACGGCUAACUACGUG